rnacentral:rRNA from 1 species
CACCGGUGGCGAAGGCGGCUUUCUGGACUGUAACUGACACUGAGGCACGAAAGCGUGGGUAGCAAACCAGGAUUAGAUACCCUGGUAGUCCACGCCGUAAACGAUGAGCACCAGGUGUUGGGGGGAUACCUCUCAGUGCCGCAGUUAACGCAAUAAGUGCUCCGCCUGGGGAGUACGCACGCAAGUGU